rnacentral:rRNA from 2 species
UAGGACGAGAAGACCCUAUAGAAUUUUAUAUAUUAGUGUAUAAAUAAGGGAUUAUAUUUUGGAUAUAUUUUAUUGGGAGGAUAUUUAAAUUAAGAAAACUUUAAUUAUAAGUUUACAUUAAUGAAUGAUUUAGAAUGAAUAAGAAUUAUUUUAAUGAGAAUUAAUUACCUUAGGGAUAACAGCAUAAUAUUUUUUUGUAGUUCUUAUAUAAAAAAAUGAUUAUGACCUCGAUGUUGGAUUAAGAUCAGUAGACUAUGUAGGACGAGAAGACCCUAUAGAA